ACACCGUCAGGUCCAGACAUGACGGGUCAAGGCACAGUGAUGGUUUGAGACACGCCGGCAAAUCCAGAUAUGACGUGUCACGACACAGGUCCAGACAUGACAGAUCACGCCAUAGUGACGCCUCCAGGUGCAAUGACAGAUCCCGUAGUGAUGCCUCCAGGCCCCCCGCCAGGUCAAGUCAUAAUGAAAGAUCACGGCACGGUGAUCUCACCAGCCCCCCUUAUGAAAGUCCAAGGCAUGAUGCAGUGACCGAGAACGGAAGAUGGACAUUCCCAUUACCUUGGGAUGUGUACCAGAAAAAGGUUUUAAACAUGCUGGUUGACCUCCGCAAUUGCUAUAAACAAGCACAACCUGCCACUUCAGCCAUGCACAUUGAAAGGAUGGAGACCUUGGAGGAUUUCGAGAGCGAGGAGCAACGCCUCUGUGAUGCACAAGCCUUUGAUACCCUAGUGCUACAGAUUGCAAGAAUUGGAGGGAAGAACACCAAGGACUGUGUCCACAAAGUCCUUGACAGGCAUGUUUCUACAUACAGUAUGAAUUGUGUGUGAUGUUAGGGUGGUUUUCAAUGUCUGAAAAUUGUUUUUCUGGAUGUGGACCAGACUGCAUGUGUUAAUUUGCCUUUUUCUUGGUUAAACCUUUUGUACCACUUGGUACAAUUAUUAUUAUAAUUUUUUUGCAUUUUUCAAUUAAAAAUACUCCAUUACAAGUUCACAACAAAAUGCAUUGUGAGUUUAUAGACCAGCUGUUCUUGAC
rnacentral:lncRNA from 1 species